CAAUAGCGUAUAUUAAAGUUGUUGCAGUUAAAAAGCUCGUAGUUGGAUUUCUGUGAGAGUGCCGGUGUCGGCUGAUGCUUGUACGCAGGCGCUCUUACAUCCUUCUGUUAACUGUUCUUGGCAUUUUAUUGCUGGUUCAGGGCUCAGAUAUUUUACCUUGAGAAAAUUAGAGUGUUUCAGGCAGGCUUAUGCCGGAAUACAUUAGCAUGGAAUAAUGGAACAGGACCUGUUCGUCUCUCGGGGCGCCGGUCUCCGUUGUUGGUUUCGGGGACUAAUGUAAUGAUUAAUAGGGAUAGUUGGGGGCAUUAGUAUUUAAUAGUCAGAGGUGAAAUUCUCGGAUUUGUUAAAGACUAACUUAUGCGAAAGCAUUUGCCAAGGAUGUUUUCAUUAA
rnacentral:rRNA from 1 species